rnacentral:misc_RNA from 1 species
GAUGAAGAACGCAGCGAAACGCGAUAUGUAAUGUGAAUUGCAGAAUUCAGUGAAUCAUCGAAUCUUUGAACGCACAUGGCACCUUCCAGUAUCCUGGGAGGCAUGCCUGUCCGAGCGUCGUUUCAACCCUCGAGCCCCCGUGGCCCGGCGUUGGGGAUCUGCCCAGGCAGUCCCCGAAAACCAGUGGCGGACCCGUUACAGGCCCUUCCCUUGCGUAGUAGCAUUCGCCUCGCAUCGGGAGCCGGCGGGCUUCCAGCCUCUAAACCCCCAUCAAGUCCGCCCCGGCGGCACCAAGGUUGACCUCGGAUCAGGUAGGAAUACCCGCUGAACUUAAGCAUAUCAAUAAGCGGAGGA